UUGAUCAUCCAUCACUCGGAUGGUAAUCAAAAAGCUCAAUUACUUACUUUUUUGUUAGUGCGGCAAUGAUUACAUUGUCUUUUCUCUAGAUGCAACCCAAAACAUCAGAAUGUACCAAGUCUAGCAGCAGCGUUGGAGCCAAAUGGCAGAAUCGCAAAGUGCUGACCCUGAGUGGCCUCCUGCGGCAUGCUGCGCUGGGAUGCAGCAGCUCGCACAUCGGACGGUCACUUGCCAUUGCUUGGGGAACAGUGUGAAAAAGCCAGCUUCCCUCGAGACCCAACUGUGACAAGAUCAAUUGAGAGUCUGUGAGAAGCUAGGAGAUGCUGAAUGUUUCAGAUGAAUAAAGAGAUACCACCUCUCACUCUGGGAAAGUUUAACUAUUUUAUGUAUAUGUAAUCCCCCCUCAAUGGAUGAAUAAAAUAAUUUUGUCAUAAACAAAGUGUUCCUUGUUUCCGCUGUAUAAAUUUAUAUGGACUACCAACAAAAUGAGGUGUAGGAACAUAAAUAAGAUGAACUUACAACCUCAUAAAAGAGUAGGUGGACCUAGCUAAUAUGAAAGAAAAUCUACAGACUGGUAAAAAGAAUUGCAUUUACAUAAGAUGGACGCAUAGAAAAACUCAUAAAACAUUGGACCUGUUUGGCAUUAUUGAUGUUUUUGUGUUUUUGUUUCCCUCUAAGAAAGUUCAAAAAGCAUGGUGAUUGGCAUUGGGACCACAUUUGCUUGAAGCUUGUGUCAUUCUUUAUUUAUAUUUUCAAAUUUUCUGAAAGUGGUAAAUUUUUGCUGCCAAAAGCUUUAAAAGUUUUACAAAUGAUUUGAAAAAACAAUGGGUUCCAUAGUAUAUAUUUGUUAUGCUUGCUUGUGUCAUUCCUUAUUUAUAUUUUCAAUUUUUUUGAAAGCAAUAAAUCUUUGCUGCCAAGAGCUUUAAAGGUUUUAUAGAUUAUUCGGAAAACAAGUGGAUUCCAUAUUACUCUAUCUUUUUACUUUAUCUCAAUUUCUUCUUAAAAUUUUGAAAACAAAAGCAAUAAAUUAGUUGGCAUGAAGAUAAUUUGCAAUGUGCAUUGCUAUAGAUGACAGGACAGUAUCAACUAGUGUGAACGGUAAAAUCUUUGAAGGUUGGUACCAAGUACCCUUACAUCAGUUUCAGCCAGAGAUUUGCUGUCCCAAGUUGUUACAAAAAGGAAAAAAGGACCUUCAUAAGUUUGUGUUAUAACAACGGUAGGGAUGUUUUUUUGGAUCACCAGUUAAGUUAUCCACCGAGUAUACUCCAGAAUUAUGUUGUUCUUUGACAUGCCCAUGAAAAGAGAAAAAUGAGAAAGAAAAAAGAAAAGAACUGAGAACAGAAAAUUAAAAAAAAGCAUGUUAUUCAAACACUACUUGCACUGCAACCAAUUGAUUAAGCUGAGUUGCAUAGAGCUAGAUUAUAGCAACACUGGACCCAUUCAAACCACCCCUUUUUGUAUUACAUUAAGGGCUGGUCAUGGGGUACUGGUUCUUUCCACGUCACUCACAAACAGAGAGGGCCCCACACAAGUUUUUUAGAUGUUUACAGUGUCAGCUGCUACAAUUACCUUACAAUUGCUUAUCUCAUGGUGGAGUGUAGUUUAGGAGUAAACAUGUGAUCUGCACUCACAGCAAAACAAAGACUAAAUAUGCCAGUUAGUAAAUAGAUGUGUUGGCUUCCCAUAUAAAAGGAACUGGAACAUAAAUAUAAUCUCCAUGAGACCAGAAAAAAAGAAAACAAAAAUCUAACAUUUUUCUAGAAUUAGCAGAAGCAUAACUUGCAACAUUAACAUAAACCUAAAUGAAA